AUUGAACGCUGGCGGCAUGCCUUACACAUGCAAGUCGAACGGCAGCACGGGUGCUUGCACCUGGUGGCGAGUGGCGAACGGGUGAGUAAUACAUCGGAACAUGUCCUGUAGUGGGGGAUAGCCCGGCGAAAGCCGGAUUAAUACCGCAUACGAUCUACGGAUGAAAGCGGGGGACCGUCGGGCCUCGCGCUAUAGGGUUGGCCGAUGGCUGAUUAGCUAGUUGGUGGGGUAAAGGCCUACCAAGGCGACGAUCAGUAGCUGGUCUGAGAGGACGACCAGCCACACUGGGACUGAGACACGGCCCAGACUCCUACGGGAGGCAGCAGUGGGGAAUUUUGGACAAUGGGCGAAAGCCUGAUCCAGCAAUGCCGCGUGUGUGAAGAAGGCCUUCGGGUUGUAAAGCACUUUUGUCCGGAAAGAAAUACUUGGCCCUAAUACGGUCGGGGGAUGACGGUACCGGAAGAAUAAGCACCGGCUAACUACGUG
rnacentral:rRNA from 1 species